rnacentral:lncRNA from 12 species
AUGACAGCACAGACACGGAGCAGCCACAGAGAGCAUCCGAGAUUUUGAGAGCUGCAGAGGCGCUUGGAAAGUUCUUGGCUCACAUGCACUGCCCCAGACCACACCUUCUCCUUGAGGAAUUCCCAGGCUUUCAACUCAAGACUG